UACGUAGGGAGCAAGCGUUGUUCGGAUUUACUGGGCGUAAAGGGCGCGUAGGCGGCAGAUCAAGUCAGCUGUGAAACCUCCGGGCUUAACUCGGAACGGCCAAGUGAUACUGUCGCGCUAGAGUGCAGAAGGGGCAAUCGGAAUUCUUGGUGUAGCGGUGAAAUGCGUAGAUAUCAAGAGGAACACCUGAGGUGAAGACGGGUUGCUGGGCUGACACUGACGCUGAGGCGCGAAAGCUAGGGUAGCAAACGGG
rnacentral:rRNA from 1 species